rnacentral:lncRNA from 1 species
CACCCAUCAGUAACUCAACACAAUCCAUAAGCUGCUCACUUGAUGCUUGACCUGUUACUGUGAUUUAAAGUCAUCAACCUUCUGCCAAAAUCUGAUGCCGAUGCUAGCUUGAAACUAUUUCAGAACUUGAAUCACUUGCGGAACAUGAAUCACUUGCCUCAAACCAGAAGCUCCUUGAUUCAAAACCUUUGAAACCAAUCUCAACAAACAGUAGACACCAACUGCUUAACCUGAGAUUUUCCUCACAACCACUUGAUGAACACACUGACUUGAACACCACCCUGC